rnacentral:rRNA from 1 species
AUGAACGCUGGCGGCGUGCCUAAUACAUGCACGUCGAGCGAACAGACGAGGAGCUUGCUCCUCUGACGUUAGCGGCGGACGGGUGAGUAACACGUGGAUAACCUACCUAUAAGACUGGGAUAACUUCGGGAAACCGGAGCUAAUACCGGAUAAUAUAUUGAACCGCAUGGUUCAAUAGUGAAAGACGGUUUUGCUGUCACUUAUAGAUGGAUCCGCGCCGCAUUAGCUAGUUGGUAAGGUAACGGCUUACCAAGGCAACGAUGCGUAACCGACCUGAGAGGGUGAUCGGCCACACUGGAACUGAGACACGGUCCAGACUCCUACGGGAGGCAGCAGUAGGGAAUCUUCCGCAAUGGGCGAAAGCCUGACGGAGCAACGCCGCGUGAGUGAUGAAGGUCUUCGGAUCGUAAAACUCUGUUAUUAGGGAAGAACAAAUGUGUAAGUAACUAUGCACGUCUUGACGGUACCUAAUCAGAAAGCCACGGCUAACUACGUG